CGCGGGGUGGAGCAGCUGGUUAGCUUGCCGGGCUCAUAACCCGGAGGUCGGAGGUUCGAGUCCUCCUCCCGCAA
rnacentral:tRNA from 2 species